AGAAUUCUUUUCCUAACUGAAUCUCUGGACUUUUUACUGGACAAAACGGCUGAGCCCCUCUGCUGUGUCCUCUGAGGCUCUCCAUCCAAAGUCAUUGAACCGAUGUCAACAAAGCCAUUUCCACUCUUCAAUUGGAUCACGUGGAGAAGGCCAGCUCCCCCAGGGCAGUUCUAUUUCCUCAACAGAAAAGCCAUUUUGGGCCAUCUUACUCACUGGGAGUCUUCGUGGUCUAUGAAAGGUGGCAGUGAGACCUCAGAUCCAUUUCAGAAGUGAUGUAACGGAGAACUCCAUAGGACAGGAAUGGCCAUGAGCUCCUCCAGGGCUGCAGAGACUAGUGGGGACUCUAGAAAAAGGUCUGAAGCCUAUGUAUUCUUGGAGCAAGGAUGUGUUGGGCACCAGCAUCGUACUCAACUGAUUUCUGCCUUUGCGGGCUUAUUCCUGCUGUAAAGAGCAUGGCACAUUUCAGAAUCUACAUGUUGUUGGGAGGGGAGCAGGCCCCUCGAAGCAUCCCUGUCAGAGCACCCACAGGCCUUUUUGAUACCUGGGUGGGAAUUGUUGGUACCUUGGGGGAAUGCCAAAAGGGCUUAUAAAUCAUUCCAGAUAAGGCAAGAAGAGUUUAGCAGGAAUUCUACGUUAGGCUUAAAGGCAUCAUAAAUACUGAAAUUAUGUAAACUCGGUAUAUGUGAACUGGCUGUCCUAGCAACUAAGUGCUUAAAGAAAAAGCUGGUCAAAAAAUGAGAAGCAAUGAAAAAACCCAUCAUGAAAGGGGCCCUCAAUUUGUGAAGCUCAGGUUUAUCUCAGCCCUUCCCCAGCACAAACCAAGCCUCCAAAACUGAUAAGUGAGGUUGGAGAUACUGAAGCCCUUUGGAAGGAAAAAUACAAGGGUUACUUUCUAUAUGAAGAAUAGAUAAAUCGUGGAGCUGUCCUCAGUCCUGAUCAAGAAAAAAGAAGCUUCCUAAGGCUCAUUUUUGGAGAAAUUAAGAUUGACAUCAGGAAAAUGUUUCAAAGGAGCAUGCCUUGUAACUGAUGGCAGGAAAAAAAAAUAUGGAAAAUCAGGAACAAUUUAUUGUAAAGUUAGUUACUGAGAAAAGAAAGGAUGUUCUACUGAGAUCUAUUCACAUUCAGAUGAUAUCCAAAGGGAAGAAUGAUUAUGCUGAAAAGGGAAGGGAAUAAGCAUUUAUAGAAUGCCUACUGUGUGCCUCAAUGCCUGUGUUACAUCAAGUGAUUUUCGUAAGAGCCCUACAAAGUUAAUAUUAACCUUCAUAAUACUUAUUAUGCUGUUACCUCCACUUUACAGUUGAGAACAUGGAAGCAAAUAGAGGUUGAAUGAUUUGCCCAGGCUUCCACAUCUAGAAAGUGUCUUGCCUUCUUCCUGAAUCUAGGCCCAGUGCUCUAGCUACUAUGCCACUUAGUCACUUCUAAAGGAAAAAAAAUAGUGGCACACUAAAAUAGGAUCGUACAAAGGGACAAAUUUACACUUCUCUUCUUAAGGAAAAGCCAAGACCAAACUACUUGUACUUUGUUGGUUGCUCAGAAGUUGACAAGAAAAUGAUUUUUUUUCACCAAAUUGCUCUGUUUUCUGUUUAAAGGUGGGGACAGGCUGGGGAAAGGCAAGUUAGGGUGGGAGAAAAAGGACAUUGAGCAUUACCACAUUAACCCUAAAGGAAUAAUAAACUCAAAAUGUCUUUAUGUUCCUGCUAAAACAGCCACUGGGAAAAUGUCUUUGCUUCACAUUAAAAUCAGUAGGCAUUGAACUCAGUUCCAAAGACUGAACAAAGCCCCUUUUAGCCUAAUUCUAAGGUUUUAUAUUUAGAACCCUUCUGGCUCUAAAUGAACAAGAUGGCAGAGUAGAUAUUUUCUCUGAUGCCCAGUUUCUCAGACCUCUUCAAAAUCAAAAAUAUGUACCAAAGAUAAAGCAAAUCUAGCUGUUUCCAUGGUGUGGACAUCCAGAAUCCAAAAGAAAGGGGAAAAUUGGCACUAACCCCAUAGUUCUUCAGGAGCAAAAAAUAUUUCUGGGGACUGUACUUCAGAAGUACCAGUCCUGCAAUGCUCUGACCUGCAGAUCUGGACUGUCAGUGCUGGGGCAGACAACUGAGGAACUGAGGGAGCAGGACAGGUCACCAGGGCAGGAAGUUGUGUGUUUGGGCAGCUAUAUAACACUCAAAAGUCUGAGAAGAGAGUCCAGUAUACAACUGGAGCCAGUUUGGACAACCCAAAGUCAAUUGGGAUUGAAACUCUGGUGAACUAUGAAUUAGCCAAGGUGGAAGGAGGCUAAGACAUUGUGAGAUACAGUCCUCAAGGAAAUUACAAUCAGAAGAGACAAAUGAGAGCUAAGAAAAAUAGCAGGGAGUAAAGAUUGAAAAUACUAAAAGUACUGGGAAAAAAUUUCUCAAAGACCCUAAUCACAUAUUUAUUAAUCUGUGGGAAAACUAGUGAAAACCGAAGGAAAUAUGGCACCUGGAUUUACUAAAAUUCAGACAUCAAUAAGUCCAUACUACAAAGUGAAGGAAAAUAAACCAGUCCUCCAGACAGAGAAUCCUGUGGAAUUUGAGAAUGUGGGUGCUUAACUGAGAAAUGAGGAUGAGAGCAGAAUUUAUAUCCUGCAAAGUAAAAAUAAUGAACAGAAUAGAAAUACUUGGCAAGCCUUCAAAAAAUAGAAUCAUUGAUGGGGAACACAAAUGCCCACAAAGGAAAGACAAUUAGAAGAAAAGCAAAAACAGUUAACAUUAAAACACAAGAUACAGACAGGAUGAUGGGUCUCCCAGAAUAUUACAGGACAAACAAUCGGCAUAACCAGAGAAAUAGGGUUAUGAAGAGAACUUCCCAGAGCUUCUGAACAUAGAAAAUUAAACUUCAAUCCACAGAAUUCUCAGAAUAAAAAGGCUGCAAAUUCCGACAAAUUCAGAAACUGCAAGUUCUGCAGCCAUCAGGAAAAAGACCUUCCCAUAGAAAGGAAAGGACAUUUCUGCAUACCAGAGGAACCUAUUCUGCAAAUAUGAGCUUAACCACAUAUGACAAAAAAAGGAUAUUCAGUAAGAGCUAGCUGGA